rnacentral:piRNA from 1 species
UCCUGAGUCAAUAAAGUAUGUUGA